UACAGAGGUCCCAAGCGUUGUUCGGAUUCACUGGGCGUAAAGGGUGCGUAGGUGGUCGGGUAAGUCUGAGGUGAAAUCUCCGAGCUCAACUCGGAAACUGCCUUGGAUACUAUUCGGCUAGAGGGUUGGAGGGGGGACUGGAAUUCUCGGUGUAGCAGUGAAAUGCGUAGAUAUCGAGAGGAACACCAGUGGCGAAGGCGAGUCCCUGGCCUGUUCUUGACGCUGAGGCGCGAAAGCUAGGGGAGCAAACGGG
rnacentral:rRNA from 1 species